GAUGAACGCUGGCGGCGUGCUUAACACAUGCAAGUCGAACGGGAUCGGCUGGAGCUUGCUCCGGCCGUGAGAGUGGCGAACGGGUGAGUAAUGCGUGACCGACCUGCCCCAUACACCGGAAUAGCUCCUGGAAACGGGUGGUAAUGCCGGAUGCUCCAGUUGGAUGCAUGUCCUUCUGGGAAAGAUUCAUCGGUAUGGGAUGGGGUCGCGUCCUAUCAGGUAGUCGGCGGGGUAACGGCCCACCGAGCCUUACGACGGGUAGCCGGCCUGAGAGGGCGACCGGCCACAUUGGGACUGAGAUACGGCCCAGACUCCUACGGGAGGCAGCAGUGGGGAAUAUUGCACAAUGGGCGCAAGCCUGAUGCAGCGACGCCGCGUGCGGGAUGACGGCCUUCGGGUUGUAAACCGCUUUUGACUGGGAGCAAGCCCUUCGGGGUGAGUGUACCUUUCGAAUAA
rnacentral:rRNA from 1 species